UUCCGAGGAGCGCUGCAACAGGGCCUGUCGCCCUGCCAGGCUCGGUCGGGGGUCCGCCUGUUCCAACGGCGCUCACUCA
rnacentral:ncRNA from 1 species